UCCCUGGUAGUAUAUCGGUUAGUACACGCGCCUGUCAUUGAAUGCUAGAUGAUGCUCGAUCCUUGCGCGCGAAAGCUGGGUUCGACUCCCAGCCAGGGAG